rnacentral:rRNA from 1 species
GGAGGAAAAGAAACUAACAAGGAUUCCCCUAGUAACUGCGAGUGAAGCGGGAAAAGCUCAAAUUUUGAAUCUGGUGGUCCUCGUGGCCGUCCGAGUUGUAAUCUAGAGAAGCGUCUUCCGCGCUGGACCGUGUACAAGUCUCCUGGAAGGGAGCGUCAUAGAGGGUGAGAAUCCCGUCUUUGACACGGACUGCCAGGGCUAUGUGAUGCGCUCUCGAAGAGUCGAGUUGUUUGGGAAUGCAGCUCAAAACGGGUGGUAAAUUCCAUCUAAAGCUAAAUACAGGCGAGAGACCGAUAGCGAACAAGUACCGUGAGGGAAAGAUGAAAAGAACUUUGGAAAGAGAGUUAAACAGUACGUGAAAUUGCUGAAAGGGAAACGCUUGAUGUCAGUCGCGUCCGCCAGGGAUCAACCUUGCAUUCGUUUGCUGGGCGCAAUUCUUGGUAGGACGGGUCAGCAUCAGUUUCGAUCGUCGUAGAAUGGUCAAGGGAAUGUGGCACCUCCAGGGGUGUGUUAUAGCCCUGGGUCGUAUGCGUCGGUAGGGACUGAGGAACUCGGCACGAACCCCUUUGUGUCUAGGAUGCUGGCAUAAUGGCCUUAAGCGACCCGUCUUGAAACACGGACCAAGGAGUCUAACAUGCCUGCGAGUGUUUGGGUGGUAAAACUCGAGCGCGCAAUGAAAGUGAAAGUCGAGAUCUCUGUCGUGGAGAGCAUCGACGCCCGGACCUGAGUCUUUGACAAAGGAUCUGCGGUAGAGCAUGCAUGUUGGGACCCGAAAGAUGGUGAACUAUGCCUGAAUAGGGUGAAGCCAGAGGAAACUCUGGUGGAGGCUCGUAGCGAUUCUGACGUGCAAAUCGAUCGUCGAAUUUGGGUAUAGGGCGAAAG